GCAUAAGUGAGGUGCGGCGUGGAGCCGGUCACAGGAAAUAACCAUGGUGCUCAGUGGUCUUGAUAAGAUGAUUCAACUUCAGAAGAACACUGCCAACAUUAGGAAUAUCUGUGUUUUGGCUCAUGUUGACCACGGAAAAACUACCCUUGCUGAUUGUCUUAUAUCCAGUAAUGGAAUCAUCUCCAGCCGUCUGGCAGGCAAGGUAUGUUGUUGGAUAUGAUAAAUACUUCUUCCAUUUUGAUGAGUAUUAAUUAGUUCUCUAUAAUGUCAUGAUCCACUUGCUUUGUCCUUCAGUGAUGUAACAUGUAGAAAGAACUGACAACCCAUUAAGCUACUAUAAAAUAGAUGUUGAGAAAAGCUUACUUCCGUAUUGUGUGUUGUUGCAUG
rnacentral:lncRNA from 1 species